rnacentral:rRNA from 1 species
UACGGGGGGGGCAAGCGUUGCUCGGAAUUACUGGGCGUAAAGGGCGCGUAGGCGGCCUGCUAAGUCGGAUGUGAAAUCCCUCGGCUCAACCGAGGAACUGCAUCCGAUACUGGCGGGCUUGAAUCCGGGAGAGGGAUGUGGAAUUCCAGGUGUAGCGGUGAAAUGCGUAGAUAUCUGGAGGAACACCGGUGGCGAAGGCGGCAUCCUGGACCGGUAUUGACGCUGAGGCGCGAAAGCUAGGGGAGCAAACGGG